rnacentral:misc_RNA from 1 species
UCAAACUUGGUCAUUUAGAGGAAGUAAAAGUCGUAACAAGGUUUCCGUAGGUGAACCUGCGGAAGGAUCAUUAAAAAAUCUCUUGAGCCGCAAGGCUCUAUUAUCUUGUGAAACGCUUGUUGUUGCUGCUGCUUACGGUACCAGGGGGAGGUGAAUAGGCGGCUUAUCAGGCGAAGUGCGCUGCUGUUGUUGCGCGGCUCUCGUCCUGCAGGUUUGCCUGCCUCUCUUUCUUACCGUGCAGCAAUGAUGACUCUAUAUUUAAACAUGUGUUUUUGAUGUUGAGGAAUGUAUGCAUCUUAAUGUAUAUAUACAACUUUCAACAGUGGAUCUCUCGGCUCUUGCAUCGAUGAAGAACGCAGC